rnacentral:rRNA from 1 species
UACGUAGGGGGCAAGCGUUAUCCGGAUUUACUGGGUGUAAAGGGGGCGCAGACGGCAAUGCAAGCCAGGAGUGAAAACUACGGGCUUAACUUGUAGACUGCAGUUGAAACUGGUUUUCUUGAGUGAAGUAGAGGUUGGCGGAAUUCCGAGUGUAGCGGUGAAAUGCGUAGAUAUUCGGAGGAACACCGGUGGCGAAGGCGGCCAACUGGGCUUUAACUGACGCUGAGGCUCGAAAGUGUGGGGAGCAAACAGG